rnacentral:rRNA from 1 species
GACGAACGCUGGCGGCGUGCUUAACACAUGCAAGUCGAACGAAGUGGCGAACGGGUGAGUAACGCGUAAUCAACCUGCCCUUCAGAGGGGGACAACAGUUGGAAACGACUGCUAAUACCGCAUACUGAAGGUGGGGAUUGCGUCUGAUUAGCUAGUUGGGGGGGUAACGGCCCACCAAGGCGAUGAUCAGUAGACGGUUUGAGAGGAUGAACGGCCACAUGGGGACGGAGACAAGGCCCAGAAUCCGACGGGAGGCAGAAGUGGGGAAGCUUCCGCAAUGGACGAAAGUCUGACGGAGCAACGCCGCGUGAGUGAUGACGGCCUUCGGGUUGGAAAGCUCUGUUAAUCGGGACGCGGUACCGGAAUAGAAAGCCACGGCUAACUACGUGCCAGCCGCCGCGGUAAUUC